rnacentral:rRNA from 1 species
AAUAUUUGACAAUGGUUGCAACCCUGAUACAACCAUGCCGCGUGAGUGCAGAAGANAUNNGGACUNUNAAGCACUUUAAGUAGNNNNNUAUGGCUCUAGGCGACUACUCUCAAGUUCUGACGUUACCAACAGAAUAAUCAUCGGCCAACUCUGUGCUCGCAGCCGCGGUAAUACAGAGGCUGCAAGCGUUCAUCGUAAUUACUGGGCGUAAAGCGCGCGUAGGUGGUUCAGUAAGAUGGGUGUGAAAUCCCCGGGCUUAACCUGGGAACUGCUUUCAUAACUGCUGAGCUAGAGUACGGUAGAGGGUAGUGGAAUUUCCUGUGUAGCGGUGAAAUGCGUAGAUAUAGGAAGGAACACCAGUGGCGAAGGCGACUACCUGGACUGAUACUGACACUGAGGUGCGAAAGCGUGGGGAGCAAAC